CUUCCUCUUCCCUCUUCUUUGUGGUCCUUCACGACUACAACCUUCUCCUCUCCCUCCUUAUGAUAUGCCAUCACCACAAUUUCUCUCCUUUCUUUUUCUUUACCCCUGCACGAUCACUUGCUCCCUGUGCACUGCACGAUCACUUGCUCCCUAUGCACUUUCGAGUCCACCUUCUCUUUAUUUUUUUUUGGUAAUCCCACCUAUCAUACCUUCAUGCCCUUCUUUUAUUACGAUCCAUCACCUUACCCUUGAUUUGUACUCUCGUGUCCCUUUUUUUCUCUCUCACGAUCCGUGGCCUUGUACAACCACAUUUUCCAAAACUCUGGCUAUCCUUCUUAUUUAUUUAUUUAUUUUAUCUUUCUUAUUUAUUUAUUUAUUUAUUUAUUUAUUUUCUUUUCUCACGCGCCUUAGUCUUGCACAACCACUUUUUCCCAAAACUCUCGCAAUGUGUGAAUCCCACAACCCAUCGCCGCGUGUGAACUCUACCCCAUCGUGGUGCGUAAAGUCCACAACUCAUCGCCUCCCAAAACUCUCGCAAAUGUGAAUCCCACGACCCAUCGCCGCGUGCCCUAUCGUUACGAGUGAACUCCACCCAAUGCCGUGCGUAAAGUCCACAACUCAUCGCCGUGACCCACACCUCCAUCGCCGUGCACGACCCAAACCCCGCUGCCGUGCACCACCGAACCUUCUUCACCACAAAGCCCCGUGACCACAACCUGCUGUACGUAACUUCCUCACCCUGCCUUCCACUCUCUCUGGCCUCUCCAUCUCAGCCGCUCACCAGCCACCUCACCCUCGUCUUCCUGUCGCCCUGCUCUUCACCACAUCUCGCCAUCUCGACUUCCUUCUGCUGCCCCCAACCAUCUCGUCACAGCCAUGCCUACCGUUUCCAUUCUCUCUCUCCUAUUGCUACCCUCUCUCUUUAACUCUUCGCAACCAAGCAGCAGUCUCUGUUGCCGGCCUAACUCUUCUCUACCCGUCACCUACUCCCAUCUACUCUCGCCUUCCCCUUUCUUUCCGCCUUUUCUCACCUCCCCCUUUCUCUCCUAUCUUUUUUCCUUGUGCAACCUCCCAUUCUUUCUCUCUCUAAAAACCCAACGUGAUGCACCCCCUCUCUCUGCUCUCUUCUCCUCAAUCACCCUCUUUCCACUUUCCCUUUUUUUAGUCUACUGCUACAGGCAGUAACCAUUUCCGCCCUCUCUUAGCACCCCUCUCUUUAUUGACCACCAUUCGUACCCCUUCACCAUCUCUUUCUUCGUCUGUUUCUUUCGUCUGCUGCCUGCUACCCUGCCUCCCCUGUCUCUCUCUUAACUUACCUGAGCUAGGCGGCUGCCUGUUUGCCACCUCCGCCACCCCAUCUCAGAACAGCAGCCCAACGCCUACCUCCCUCGCUUCCCUUCUUCCCUCCUCCUCCUCCUCCACUAUCACCCCACCUCUGCUGCUCUCUCUCUCCUCUUCUCGGAUGCCUAGCUCAGCCACGCUACUGCUCUUCAACCAACUCUCUCUGCUGUCCUCCCAACCUCGGCUGCUACUUCCGCCAUACCAAUUUCUCUGCCUGUCUCUCACCCAUCUAAUCCUCUGCUGCUCAGCCACCCAAAUGCCAUCAAUUCCGCCACCUCGCAUCCAGUAAUCUCCGUCUCUUCUACUCUCGUCUUCCUGCUGCCCUCUGCGACCUUCAGAAACCUCGCGCACUCCCCAUUCUCUGAGCUUUCUCUCUAAGAAUCUACCAAAGAAAACCCACAAACAAAACACUUACCUUCCCUCGUUUGACUGUUUUUUUUUCGUCAAUGUUUCGUUCCCCCUCCUUUAGCGCGUUUUCGUCCAAGUCUCUCCCCCUAUUCUUUCACCCUUUUUACAGCACAUUAUCUUCCUUCACCCUGCCUUCGGCUCUCACUCUCUCUCUAAACAAAAACCCACUCUUCCCUUUUUCGUUGUUUUCUUUUAGUGUUAAGUUUUCGUGACUUUCGUUUUCGUCUCAUCCUCUCACAAAAAACCCAAUAGUGAGCUAGCUCCUCCCGUUUCUCUCUCUCUAAACGUCCAAAUGAAAUCUACUCUUCCCUUUCGCCUCUUUCUCUUCGUUUGGAGUAUUCAUUAACUUCGUUUUGGACGUUUAAUUCAUCUCUCAUUUUCAUUUCACUUUGUUUUCUAUCAUUCUUAUUUCAUCAUCACUUUUAUUUCACUUUCAUCUUUUUUAGAAGACCUAGCGAGAAUCAAGCUAGUCUUCACUUCCUCUUUUUCUCUCCAUCGCUUGUUUUACCAGAGGACAGGUUGAGCCUUGAGCUGUCGUGUCAAUCUUGUCGUCGAGCAGUAUUGUCGUCGUGCUAGUCUGAGUUACCGUGCCAGUCUGGCUGCCGCGUCAGACUAGUCAUUGUGCCAGUUCUUUCGUCAAGCAAUAUUACCAACCUACGGGUCUGAGUUACCGUACCGGUCUUGCUGCCAUGUCAGACUCACCAUCGUGCUAGGUUGGUCGGUGUUGGUUCUAUCGUCGAGUAGUGUUGCCGUCGUGCCAGUCUGAGUUACCGUUCUUAUCUUGCUACCACACAAAAUCAGCUACCAUACUGGUCUAGCCACUGUACCAACCUAACCGUCUAGUUGAAGUUCUUCUCUUAUUUUCACUUCUUUUAUCUCUUUAAAGCAAGGUGGGGUCUUAUGACCCACACCUCUGUAUUUUUUAUAUCUGUGUGGUUGCAGGAAAGGAGAAACAGGUCAAGGGAGGCGAUUUCAAACUGGCCACAGGCCAGAUGGCACUCCAAUGUUAUCUAAGAGGGUGGCCACAUGAACCAGCCUGAGCGUGUCACGGACCCACGUGAGGUCUUGGGUCCAUUUCGAACCCGAAACCAUGCCACCAGGUCAGCCCGAUGCGGAGGGCAAGAUCGAGGUACCUAACCACUCUCCUAGAGCCACGCUACCACAUCGUUGGAUCGUUCUUAUUUGGCCUUUCUUUCUUUUUAUUCCUGCUCACUAUACACACCUAUGUCGCGCUCCCAGGUCAUCACCUGGAAAGAGGUGAGGAUGGACCUAAAAGUCUCUCGCUCCCUACCUCUUUGCAAUGGUGGACCCUCUGCCAAUGCACCCUGCAUUGGUGGCACAUAUGCCACCACACACAGCAUGCACCCUGCUACCGGCAACUCACGUGCUGGUCCCAUUGCAUGAGGCGGCCCCUCCCUCUCCCACGACUGACAGUUCAUUUGUCGUUGCUCCUGCCGGUAGCCGAGAGGCUACCUCUCAUUUUCUAUCACUCGGAGCAACCCUCAGGUUAUAUCGAGACACUGUCAGGGUUCGAGUCUUCAUGAACCGAGCCCUGCACCUCUUUUGCAUGUACAUCACACCACUUGGGGCAACCCUCACGUUACCUCGGGACACUGUCAGGGUUCGGCUCUUCUUGGACUCAACCAUGCGCACCCCUUGCAUAUGCACUACAUCGCUCGAGGUAGCCUUAUUGCUACGUCUGCCCGAGCAUAUGAGGGGGAACCUCUUAGUACCCCCUCCUAGCACAUGUCUGUUUACUCUGUGAGGGAUAGUCACAUGGCCAUCCCAUCACACACACAUGCUCACGGCACCGAGCCUCUUAAGGCCAAACACGCUACUCGAGCUCAGGUUGACCACCAGGUCACCCAAAGUCCUUUUGCAGAGGGCGCACACAUGCCAAUCCCCCCGCCCACCCAAAGCACACCUUUGCACUGUGCACACACGCAUGGGUCUAGCACUCCACCCAGUCCCAAGGGCAAUCAUGUGAACGGGUAUGAAGAACAGUUCUCCUUCACUCGACGACAGUUCUACCUGACCAUAAAGAAGGGAGAUCAUGGUCGGGCCCGAAAAUGGCGUCAAGAGACCAAGACAUUAAAGGCUCAGCUUAGGGGAAAAGGAAAGAAAGUUAUUGAAGACUUCUCUUCCAAUGAUGAGAACCCUUCCUCCCCUCUCAUUCCCCUUGAUGCGCAAGAUGCUGGAAAGGCAUGGUGUGAGCUAAACACUAGAAAGAUUGAUCGGGGCAUCAUGAAGCCGGAGCAACCCCAAAUCGGCCUAGAAAAAUCGUACACGUUCCAUAAUUGUAACAGGGAUUGUUUUGAAAUUUUUUAUAUUGUUGAACAGGGACAAAAUCAUCAUUUUACCUCAUUUUUACAAUUUCUUUUAAUUAAAUUAAAUUGUAAUUUUCAACAAUUAAAGUAGAUUUUGAUUAUUCCAAUCUACCUAUUUUUUAAUGAGAGUAUAUAUAUCAGGUGAUAUCAUUGUACAAGGGACCUAUUUGGCUGAAUAAAAUUGCUAUCUUUCUACAUUGUGGGUCA